UUUCGAAAGAUUUUAAAUGGCAAAAACCUUCAGAAGGGUUUUUGGAUUUGUCAAAAAAAGUGGUGAAUUAUAGUGGUGGUCUUCCAUUGGCACUUAAAGUAUUGGGUUCCUAUCUUUAUAGUAGACCUAUUGUGGUAUGGCAUAGUGCUAUUGAAAAAAUAAAGAAGUCUUCACAUUCUGAAAUUAUUGAUGUAUUAAAAAUAAGCUAUGAUGGUUUAGAUUCAAUGGAAAAGAAUAUUUUUCUGGAUAUUGCUCGUUUCUUUAAUGGACGUGGAAAAGAUUAUGUAACAAAUAUAUUAAAAGGAUGUGGUCAUGAUGCUGAAAUUGGUAUUGAUAUAUUGAUUAAUAGAUCAUUGGUGACACUAGAGUAGGAGACAUUUGGGGAGGUUACUCUGGGGAUGCAUGAUUUUCUUGAAGAAAUGGGCAAACAAAUUGUAAUUCAAGAAUCUCCAAGUGAUGCUAGUAAGCGUGGCAGAUUGUGGUGUUACUAGGAUGUUGAUUUUGUACUUAGUCAAAAGAAGGUGCGUGAAGCAACUCAUAGCAUCGUUCUAUAUAACAUGUACCAGGUCCGGGAGAUUGAAGGGAAUUGGGGAGAUUUGGAUAGAUGAGAUAUAUCUUUCUCAAAUAUAUGGCAGCUAAAGCUUCUCAUUUUAGGGUGUAUAUAUAUUUAGGGCAGAUACUAAUCGUUCUUCUGGGGGUGUCACAAAUGCAGAAAGGAUCGUGUGCAUAUGAAAUGUGCGCAUUUGUUUUUUAUGGAGAAUUCAGAAUUAUACCUAUUGAAGCUCUCCUUUAUGUCACUUUUCAUGUUGUUUCAGCUUGUCCUCAGAAAUCAGGUUAUUGAAACCAUUUUUCAUGUUGCCACAGCAUAGAGUGAUAUUUUGAAAGGAUGAUGAGACAGAUUCAGAUUCAUUACAGAGGGAAAGCAAAAAUAUGCAGGCCAUGACAUCUUUCCUUUCCAACUAUGUCAAGGUUCAGCUUUCAGAGAAAAGAAUAUACCUUGGACAAAGGCAACUAUCUGUGCCUAAAGUGAAUUAUAUCUACUAUUUUCCAAUCAAGUUCAUCUUGAAUUAUAUCAAAGGAUUUGUCAAUGCAGGUGCCUCUCUAGUUUUGAUUUUGUACCCUUAUUUAAUUUGAAAGCUUCUAUUCUUAUCGUUGUUGAAAAUGAAUUAUGGUCUUAAUAUUGGUGUAAGAAAUUUCCUUUUAUAAUUAUGGUAUGAAGGAUAAAAAAAUAAAAUU